UCACGCUAUUUCGACUACAACAAAGUCUCCGCACGAAUAAAACAAUAGUACAAUAGUAUUAAUUUUACACUCCGUAUACACGCCCAGUUAAAAAUUUCGGAUAUAAACCACCGAGACAUCCCUACGGGCAAUGGACAGGCCACUGUUAUAGGUGGGAAGUCGGGAAAGUAUACGAGGUGUGUACAGGUGUAAGGGUAAUAUGCAUGUAGUUUAUGUACCGAAAACGACGAUGAACCAUUGCAAUCGGGAAACUACUGGUGGGCAGGACUCGUUUGAACCAAU